CACGAAUUAGUCCCUCUCCCAUCUCCCCGCCGGUCCCGCCGAGGACUCAUCGUGGUUCCCAGUUGGCGGUCCAGUCCUUGCACGACACGACGGCAGGCGAAGGCGUCGAGCACAGCACGAGGUGAAGCUUUUUUGUCAUGGCAUUUUCCGCAUCUUUGCGGGCAUUUGAUUUCUCAUGAGCCACAAUAUUCGUGUAGCAGGUGGCGAGGUCUGAGUGCUCCACGUACGUGGCCGGGACAAAGCGAGCACAGCGACCCAUCACCGCUCUGCGUCAGUGUCAGCAUCUGCAUCAUCUAACGCUGCAAAAAGCCUUCAUCUCUUCUCCGGUGCUGAGAUCACUUCGAAUGUAUCCGUAAAUUAACGAUACACGAAAGAGGACGUCCGUGAUGAGCACACACUGGUCCUUACGAUCGUCUGAGAACGUUUCUUAAUGGUGUACCUUUCCAUGAACGUCUCGAGGGAUGCUCGGGUAAGGAAAUCUAUCUUAGGGCAUGCGAAUCCAGUGGGCGGCGGUUACCAAAGAAGGGAAGAAAAGGAAAGCAUAAAGAAAAGUCCAAUAUGGAAGCUGAUCUCUUAUUGACUUUUGCCGAGAUAAAGGCCAUGUAAUUGACGUUUUAAUUUGAUGGUAGAAAAUGGAAAUUACAUAUAAUGAUCUUAUUCUUAUUUCUAUAUAUUUAAGUUAAACAAAACUCGAGAACCUAUGCACUAAGUUUCAUAGAUAAAUAUUAAUGAG
rnacentral:lncRNA from 1 species